UUGGACCAGGAACUUGUAUCCUGGGAUAUGAGACACUUGGCCAAUGUGAGAUAACAUCCAUCCCUUUUCAAGGGAAGUGGGGCCCUACUGAUUAACAGGCACCCCACAGUCACAGGGGAAGGGGCCUGUCCUGAAAGGAAAAGAUUCGAGACAGACAAAAAUAUGACCUGCAGUCUCUACUUCUUACGGUAGUCCUAUGGGCAAUGUUCUGCUACUACCUCUGUUUUAUAAGUUAACCCAAGGCUCAGAAAUUAAAUAUUUUACUCAAGGUCACAGAGCUAGUGAGAAGCAGUUAGAAUUCAACCCAAGAUGUGCCCUGGCUGUUGAUGCUGCGUCUCAGAUGCCGGUUAUUGACCACACAACUCCCGAUCCAUUCUGUGUGUGGAAGGAAAGGCCUCUUAGAUCCUUUUAUCAAUUAGUGGGAGUCUGUCUGCUUGGGCUCCCAUAGGUGCCUCGGGGUACCACGUUUAAGAGGGCCAUUUCCUCUUGGAGGGGUGUUGGGGAGGUCCAGCUCCCCCUCACCUGAUCUCCAUCCUAGAAGCUGUGGUUAGGAAUGAGUUACAUGUUGGUUUUCUUCCCCUGAUAGUCAAUGAGAGUGAAGCUGCAGCCGGCAUCCAGCUCCAAGCUUCCUGCAUUCAGUCCUUUGAUGCCUCCAGCUGUGAUAUCUCAGAUGCUGCUGCUUGACAAUCCACACAAAGAACCUAUCCGCUUACGGUACAAGCUGACAUUCAACCAAGGUGGACAGCCUUUCAGCGAAGUAGGAGAAGUGAAAGACUUCCCAGACCUGGCUGUCUUGGGCGCAGCCUAACUUUUCACAAGAUGGACCCUUCAUUUCAAGCUUAGGCUGGCGUUACUUUUGCUGUCUAGUCAGGACUAAUCACGGUGUUUCAGUGCGGAGUGCCAAGAGUCCUAUCCUGACGUCAGGCUCUGGGUGUCAACCUCUGACUUAUUCUGCAGAUGCUCUGUGUGUGUGUGUGUGUGUGUGUGUGUGUGUGUGUGUGUGUGUGUGUUCGGGGAGAGGGUGGUAGCACAGGGCUUGGGAUAUCGGCAGUGUGGGAAAUGCGAAGCAUUUCUCAUCAUCAUCAUCUCUGCUACAGUCAUGUUUCUGCAUGUCAGCGAGCGACACUGUCCCUGCCUCAGGUUGGAGGUUUUAUCAGCCAAAGUGUUUUUUUCAUGUAUCGUUCGUUCCAUUCAUCCACUCUGUGCCUUGUCAGCCUUUGAAAGGCUUGGUUGCUCCCAGGCUGCUGUUCUCAGGGACCUUAAAAGGGACCUGGUUAGUCUUGGGGCAGAGAGUAUCUACUUGGGCACUCUCUUCCAAGAAAGACCUUGUCUCCAUUUUCAUUAGACAAUGCUUCUUGUGUGUGUUCUGGAAGAUCUUCUAAAUGGAAUGCUUGUUGCACUGUUCCCAGGCGAGUGGCUGCCAUGAGACCUGAGGACCACACUUGGGGGACCAAUCAUGUCCUUCACCACUGUGCCUUAGAAUCGCCCCUGGACAGAGUUCCUGGGCAGAGGGGAAAGCAGCUCCCAGGCCUUACUCAGGCCUCAGGUCCAUGGGUUGGGCAGCCAGUCUGGGCCCUUCUCAGGAUCCUCAUCUCCAUCCUCAUCCUCUUCCUUCACAGCAUUUACUUGGAGCUCUUUGUGACACACCAUGUCAGUCAUGAUGAAUCGGCCAACAGCCAGCCCUUGCCAGCUGACGUCACAGUCUAAGAUGGGAAACUGUGGUACAGAUAGACAUGAAGAGAGCUUAGCAGUGAUUGAGGUGGUGACUAAAUAUACAGUCAUUGAAUAAAUACCAUGUAGCAAGUGU
rnacentral:lncRNA from 1 species